GUAAAUAUAUAUUUUUUAGUUUGAUAAAAAAAAGUUGACCAGCGAGCCGUCAUCAGUACCAAAUAAUGCCCCAAAUUUGGCUCUUUAAGCACUUUCAGAAAGACACUUUGAUUUUCUGAAAAAAUGUCAAAAUGACGUCAUCAGUAGCAAAUAAGGGCCUAAAUGUGACCCUUUAAGCACUUUCAGAAAGGAAUUCUCAAGAGAUGAUUAUCGAGAAUGUUGUCAACAUGCUUUGCAAUUACUUAAUCUAAAACAAAUAAAUAUACAGUGGCACAAACCUGGAGCUUUCUUUUAUGUUAGAUGGAUGUGUACAAUCUUGUAUACAUCAAAAAUGUUUGCUUUUGCUGACCUUGCAAAGCAUGAAGAAAGUUUUAUAGAGAAAUUGUCACGGUUUUGUAAAUGUACUUUUCUAUUUUAUGUGAAAAUAUGCCUUACGUUUACAAGCACAGUCAAUCUCUUAUUUAAUGACUUGGAAUUCUACAAAGAAAUGAUUAUUUGUAAAACAAAUUGAAAAUGAUGUUGCUGUUGCUGCUCUGAAAAAGUUUAAUUGGCAUCUUUGGUAUUUAACCGUAGAAAUGCCCUUUUUUCAUUAUUUUCUGAUAAAGAAUCUGAACGUGACAAAACUAAAAUUGCUAAAAAUUGCUAAUCCUGAAAGGUAUAAAAAAAAACUGUGAACAUGAUAUAGGCUUUCCACAAUUUCCUCUUUUAAAGCAGAGUACUUGUUUGACUGAUUUAAUUGGACUAAAAUCAACCAACAUUCUAAAUUUAUUCGGAUAUUCAAAUGAUGACGGUGGUUGCUUGGUAAAAUCCUAAAGUUUUGGAAACCUAAAACAAACUUUAAUCACGUGUUUGAGCAUAUCAAAUCACUGAGAUCUGUAAACGAAACAGCAGAACGAGCUGUUAAACUAAUUCAAGAUUAUGCAACAUCUAUUAUGAAAGAUAAAGAGCAGAAAAAAAUUUCAAAAAAAAAAAAAACAGAAAAAUUUCUUUUACCUGCAAUAGAUCACCAACGAAAAGUUUUCCCUCGCAUAAAAAAACAUAUUGAAAAUAUGCUUUUCAAUCUUUUUUUUAUUAUACCUUUAAAAUAUUGUUAUUUUGUUGUUAUAAUUUUAAAAAACUGAGAUUUUGAAUUUCUUAGUACUUAUUCCCAUUGUGCUUUA